rnacentral:rRNA from 1 species
GCAACGAGCGCAACCCUCGACCUUAGUUGCCAGCAUUCAGUUGGGCACUCUAAGGUGACUGCCGGCUAAAAGUCGGAGGAAGGUGGGGAAUGACGUCAAAUCAUCAUGCCCUUAUGACCUGGGCUACACACGUGCUACAAUGGGCGGUACAAAGGGUCGCGAACCGCGAGGGGAGCCAAUCCCAAAAAGCCGCUCUCAAGUUCGGAUUGCAGGCUGCAACUCGCCUGCAUGAAGCCGGAAUCGCUAGUAAUCGCGGAUCAGCAUGCCGCGGUGAAUACGUUCCCGGGCCUU